rfam:Podospora anserina genomic DNA, chromosome 6.
CAACAGGCCUUUUUAGAGGCCACUCAGCGACACUUUUGAGAAUUUU